rnacentral:tRNA from 1 species
CUCCGAGUGGUGAAAUUGGUAGACACAAGGGAUUUAAAAUCCCUCGCCUAUGGCGUGACGGUUCGAUCCCGUCCUCGGAGA